rnacentral:rRNA from 1 species
GCAUAUCAAUAAGCGGAGGAAAAGAAACUAACAAGGAUUCCCUUAGUAACGGCGAGUGAAGAGGGAAGAGCUCAAAUUUUAAAUCUAUUAUGUUUGUACAUGAUCGAGUUGUAAUUUGAAGAAGCGUUUUCUCGUACUUUAUGCAAUCAGUAUAAGUUCUCUUGGAACAGGACAUCAUAGAGGGUGAUAAUCCCGUCUGUUACUGGUUGUGAGGUUCGUUAUGAUACGCUUUCAAAGAGUCGAGUUGUUUGGGAUUGCAGCUCCAAAUGGGUGGUAAACAUCACCUAAGGCUAAAUAUUUGCGAGAGACCGAUAGCGAACAAGUACCGUGAGGGAAAGAUGAAAAGAACUUUGAAAAGAGAGUUAAAAAGUAUGUGAAAUUGUUGAAAGGGAAACGAUUGAAGUCAGUCGUGCAGUCAUCAAUUCAGCGGUUAACAUUUUAUGUUUCCGUGUAAUUUGGUGUCUGUUGGUUAGCAUCAAUUUUGAUUGUUAUAAAAAGGUUAAGGGGAUGUGGCUCCUUCGGGAGUGUUAUAACCCUUAGCGUAAUGUGACGAUUAGGAUUGAGGUUUGCAACGAAUACCUUUUAGGGCAGUUUCACCUGGCCUCUCGUGGAAUUAUAGAUAGUUAAGAGCAUGCUCUUACUGUCUAUGAUUCUACGAAAAGGUUGGAGUGUAAAACUAAUUCGUUAAGGAUGUUGACGUA